AUAAAUCCUAACGAUAAUUAUUAAACACGGAAGGCAAGUUUUCCAGAAUUUCUCAAAUAAAAAUUCAAGCCAGAAAGUCAUCAUUUAUGAUCAUCUAUCUCACUCAAUCUCGAGUUCUCAAUUAAUUUUUCAACGACUAAGACAUUAAAAUAUUGCAUUUUUAGGGCAAAUUUGGGUGUUCGGUCAUCCAGAACCGAAGGAGAAUAUUACUUAUUCCUCCUCUUCUUCAUCUCUUUCCUUGUUCCUUCUCAGAUAUAAACAAAAACAAAAACAUCUUUGGAACUUAAAUUGUUAUUCAGUUACCAUUGUUGUUUUUUUUUUUUCUGAUCGAAGGAGAUUCAAGCUUCCGAAAAUUUCAAAGAGUUGGUGGUCUGUUUGAUUAGAGGGGUAUGGAUCGAUUUCAAUGGCUAAAGAUUGUUGUUUUACUCUGGUUAUUUACAAUCACUGGAGCUAGAGAAUUGCAAGUCAAACAUAUGGAACUGCAAAUUAAGCAAAGUGACAAUGGUCCUGUCUACAAUCAUACUCUUGCAAAGAUAUUGGUGGAGUAUGCUUCUGCGGUUUACAUGUCGGAUCUUACGGAAUUGUUUACUUGGACUUGCUCAAGAUGUGAUGAUAUGAUUAGGGAGUUUGAAGUGCUGGAGCUGAUUGUUGAUGUCCAGCAUUGUUUACAGGCAUUUGUUGGGUAUGCUAAGGAUCUUAAUGCUGUCGUUAUUGCAUUUAGGGGUACUCAAGAGCACAGCAUUCAGAAUUGGGUUGAAGAUUUGUUCUGGAAGCAACUUGAUCUAAACUAUCCCGGCAUGCCUGAUGCAAUGGUGCAUCAUGGAUUUUAUUCAGCAUAUCAUAAUACGACUAUUAGGCCUUGUCUUCUAAAUGCUGUAAGAAGAGCCAAGAGGUUAUACGGGGACAUUCCCAUCAUGGUCACGGGGCAUUCUAUGGGCGGGGCAAUGGCUUCUUUUUGUGCACUUGAUCUAUCAGUAAAUUUUGAUGGACCUUGUGAAGUUCAACUUAUGACCUUUGGACAGCCACGUAUUGGCAACUCAGUAUUUGCAUCAUAUUUCAGCCAGCAUGUGCCAAAUACAAUACGAGUAACUCAUGCGCAUGACAUAGUGCCUCAUUUGCCUCCCUACUAUACUUACUUUCCACAGAAGACUUAUCACCACUUCCCAAGAGAGGUGUGGAUUUACAACGUUGGUUUGGAAAGUCUAGUUUAUGUAGCCGAGAAGAUCUGUGAUGCAUCUGGUGAAGACCCAUCGUGUAGCAGGUCUGUAAUGGGAAACAGCAUCACGGAUCACUUGUCAUAUUAUGGAAUCCAACUACAAGCUGAGACAUGGGGUUCAUGCAGAAUUGUCAACUCAAAUUUGAAUAACUACGGGGUAAAAGAUCUAAGAGGGAACAUAAUUUUGUCGAGGGAUCCUACUACUACUCCGGCUAUAGUACUAAAUAGUGAAAUUGGUACUCAAAGUGCUUCUGCUAUGUAAUUUGAGUAUUAAGAGGAAGAAGAUUUCUUUUGGUUGAAAGGGAUUCAACUGCCUGAAGUCGCUUAAGUUAGUUCUAGCAAAGCACUAGUCAGGUGUCUAAUUCAUCCGAGGUAUCCCCGCGUGUUAGCCAUUUGGAUGUAGCAUCACCAAUAUAAUUUCUGCGCGUAGAGAUGAAGCAAGACACUUUCAGGGGUUCAACAGCAUUUUCUUUUCUUGUUUUGACGGCACGCCAUCUCUAUGUGUGGAUGAGUGGAGGGUCACCUUUGGUAUGUUACCGUGCUCUACAGCCAUAAAUGGAGUGCUCGAUACUUCAACUUGUAGUCAUUCAUUUUACUCAUAGGGCACUUUGCUAUCCUGUAGGUGAGGUGGCUUUUGGUUUUCAG